rnacentral:rRNA from 1 species
CCCUUCGAUGUUCUGGGCCGCACGCGCGCUACACUGACGAAGUCAGCGAGCAUGUCCUACGCCGACAGGUGCGGGGAAUCUUGUCAAACUUCGUCGUGAUGGGGAUUGAUUAUUGAAAUUCUUGAUCAUCAACGAGGAAUUCCUAGUAAGCGCAAGUCAGCAGCUUGCGUUGAUUACGUCCCUGCCCUUUGUACACACCGCCCGUCGCUACUACCGAUUGAAUGGUUUAGUGAGAUCUUCGGAUUGGCGCCACUGCGGCUCAGCAAUGGGCUCGGUGGAUGCCGAAAAGUUGAUCAAACUUGAUCAUUUAGAGGAAGUAAAAGUCGUAACA